CGGGCGGACGGGUGAGUAGCGCGUGGGUGACCUGCCCCAUACCGGGGGAUAACAGCUGGAAACGGCUGCUAAUACCGCAUAAGCGCACAGAGCUGCAUGGCUCGGUGUGAAAAACUCCGGUGGUAUGGGAUGGGCCCGCGUCUGAUUAGGCAGUUGGCGGGGUAACGGCCCACCAAACCGACGAUCAGUAGCCGGCCUGAGAGGGCGACCGGCCACAUUGGGACUGAGACACGGCCCAA
rnacentral:rRNA from 1 species